rnacentral:lncRNA from 1 species
GUAAAAGUUCCACUCGCUUUCUUCCAUCACAUUUUGCACAAUGUUACAUUUUCAUGGAAACUUACUGUGAAUAAGGUGCUGACAAUUGUACUGCUUAAUGCAUGACUCUUUCCAUAUCUUUAAUUUUCUCUAUAGAAAUUAUCACAAGCUGCCCUGCAGUAGGUUUAAGAUAAAUAUGUACUCAAAGCAGGUGGCUCAAUCCACUUAUCAGCAUUUGGCAUACCAGGGUUCAAUGGGUAAUCACAAAGAAGAACGGGGCAGAGCUAGAGAACAGAGAGAACGCUUUUUGUGACUCAAGUGUGCAGAAGGUAAUCAACUCUUCCUAAGGAUCAGGUAUGGAAACAAUCUGGUUCCCUAAACUCUUCUUUCAUAUGAAUCAAUUUGUUUUUUAAUGCUAAGGUGUCAGCAAACCUCUCAUCCUCAAGUCCAACACAAUGAUCUAUUAUUUUGGGGGAAGGUGAUGCAGCAACCUCCCCCCCUCCCCCACUUCUGGGAGAUGAGGUAUAAAACUUUAUUACCCUUAGAACUCAGAAAAAGGUCCAUUGUUUCUGGGGAAAUAAAUAAGCAAAAGUACUUUAACCCAUAAGGAAUGGUCAAGACAAUCUCUUGGACCCAGGAUUUUGCAUGAUUUCGAAGCAGAGUUUUGCUACCACUUGGAGAGGGGCAAUAAAGACUCUCUCACACAGGAUUUUCCACAAAUAGAAGACAGAUUUUUGCUAUAAGGAGAGUGAUAAAUACUCUCUAGAAAGAAACCCUAUGUCUAAGGAAAAGACAUAUUGGGCCUGCCUAAAACUUGGCUUGUCCAGAAGAAAAGAGAGUCCUCUGCACCCCUCAUAAUCCUAGUAUUGAGCAACAAGUACUCCUAGGGUAAGAGCAAGAGUUUUGAGUUUGUGUUCAUUGCGGAGGUCUAUGAUGACUGUUAAAAGCCCUGAGGGUGGGGCAGAAAUACACAGAACAAUUAUUCAACACAUCAUGCCCUCUCCUAGCAUGAGUAACAGCAACUUUCUUCUAAAGAUGAUGAUAACGACAAUAAUACCCAAACCCUUCUCAACUCCUGAUUAGAACAAUUCAUGUCUGACACUAAUGACCUCACUGAAAAAGACCUAUGCAAAUAUUCAGGCAUAAAUAGUAUUUAUCUAUGUUACUACUGAUAUCCUACAAAGGAUUUUGGACAGUUAAUUAAAAUAUAUAAAAGAGACUAAAAAAGCAAUAAUAAAAUCCAACAAUGCUACCAGAUAAGCAACCAGGAACAACAUAGUUAAACAUGUCACACAUGUUGGAAAUAACAGACAGAGACAUUCCAAUAACUAUGCCCAAUAUGUUUAUCUAUUUAAAGAAAAAUGUCAAAAUCAUUUAUGAACAGAUAAGACACUUCAAUAGAGAUGGGUAAUAUAAUAAUGUCACACUGAAAUUCCAGGAAAACACACACACUAUGAGAUGAGAUGAAUUCCUAUACACACACACACUAUGAGAUGAAUUCCUGUACACAUACACAUACACACACAGUAUGACAUGAAAUAUUCCCAUAAUGAAGUUUCCAGUAGAAUGGAAAACACUAAGGAGAGCAUCAUUCAUCUUAAAUAUAUAUCAAUAAAAGUUAUCAAACUGAAACAACAAAAGAAAAAUGUGAAAAACAAAGAAGAUAGCAUCUACAAGCUUUGUCACUAUAUCAAAUGGCCUAACAUAUAUGUAAGUGAACUCUUGGAAGGCAAAUAGAUAUAGAGAAGAAGAAAUAUAAAAAAGAGAAAUAACUAAGAACUUUAGCUAGCAAAGUAGAUUAAAUACAACUAUAUAAGAAAUUUUAUUAGUGUAAUGGUUGAACACCCUGAUUAAAAAUAAAGACAUUUUCAAAAAAAGAUAAAUAUAUACUUUCAACAGGACACUUAUUGUAACUUUAAAAACCUAAGUAAGUUAAAAAUCGAAGAUUAUAAAAAGACAUUCCAUGCUAACAAUAAUCAAAAGAAAGCUGGACUGGCUAUAUUAACCAUAUGACAAAGUAGACCUUAGAAUUAAAAGUAUCACUAAGACUAAUGGGGUACGGUAUAUAUAAGUAACAAGAUCAGUUCACCAGGAAAAUUUAAGAUCUUAAAAAUGUGUAAAAGAACUGAGAGAAUUGAAAGAAGAAAUAGAAAAACAGAAAUAUAAAAAGAAUUUAAACUCCUUCAAUAUUUUUCACUUUAAUUGUAUGUUGAAAUAAUAAUAUGAUAGAGCUAUGAUGUUAAAAUAUAUUAUUAAAACUAAUUUUACCUUUUUUAUGACAUCUGUGGAUCACAUCAUAUUUUUAUUGAGUGGUGCUGCAUUAGAGUAACUAAACAAUUGUACAUUAGAACACAUUUGGUUAGAACCUAUGAACAACAAUCUAAUUCUGGGGUAUUUCACUUGGUAUUCACUGCCUUAUACUGUGAUGCAAUCUAUAGAAAGAGAUUACAAUGCAAAAAUAUGGAAAACUGUUUACAAAGGGUUACAUCAAUGGUAUGUUUAAAACAUUUCUGUGAUUUCCAAGCCUUUCUGUGCUCAAUAUGAACUCAAUAUAAACCAAAAAUGACAGUAAAUGGAUUAUUUAAAACUUGAAAUGACUUGAAUUAUAUAUUUUUAACUGAUUAUUUUUUUAAAUGGUGAGUACGGUAAGUUUGUAUGUUUAUUUUUUAACUGUCCUUUAUUUCAAAAAUUACUCUGUGCAUUGUAAAAAAGAAAAAGAAAACAAGGUAUGAAAACUUUUUUUGGAGAUGAGAUAAGGGAGAUACAAAGAAAAUAUAGAUGGGUAUGUUAGAUGAGGCUAGACAAAGAAAAUAUAGAUGGGUAUGUUAGAUGAAGCCAGUGAUAAAAUUUAGCUCUCAAGGUACAUGUCAGAUCAUGUAACUUGUCAACAGUAGGUCAAAAUUUGACUUUCUAUUUUCUAGCCACUCUAGAAAAGAGAAAAAUGCAUUGAUUUACAAGAUCCACAGUGUGAAAACAAAAAUGAAAAUAAAUUAAAAAAAUAAAACUUGCUCAGACUAUUAAAGACUUAAAGAAAGAUGUUUCUUUGUUUUCUGUAGGGUGCUAUGUAAUGAGUAAACAUGGCAAUAAAAUUCUUACCAUAAAUGCAUAAACCAAUAUCAAAAAGCUAUCUGCCAAUAAACUAUUUGAUGUAUAUCUUCUGUAUAACAACACAGCUCAAUUUCAUAAAAUCCAGUCAACAAGAGAGCUAAAUAAUUCUUUCUGAACACAUAUAUCAUGAUCUGGUAUAAUGCAAGUAUACAAGAUAAGCUAUUUACAGAGAAUAAUGAAUUUCAGAUCACACAGGUAAUCUUUAUAUUGAUCACUGACUAUGUGUUUGGUUAGUAUUAAGCAGCAUAAAAGUUGUAGUUAAGAGUUGCCAAAAGAUAGCUGGGAGUGACACCAUUUCAGUUUUCCAAUUUAUUAAUAUGGAACUAGAAUUAACAUUCUCUAAUAAAAAUGGAAAUAUCUGCCAGAAUAGGCAGUAUAUAUAUGUGGUUUUGGGUCAGUUAUAGAGACACACACACACACACACACACACACACACACACGUGUGUAUAUAUGUACAUAUUAUACAUAAAUUAUAUUCACAGAUCUAUGAAUUUCACAAAAUGAACACAUUUCUGUAAUCAGCAUCCAAAUCAAGAAACAGAAUAGUACACCUAGAAGGCCCCAUGCCUCCCCAUAGUCUCCUCUUCUAAAAUGAUUUCUACUCUGCCUUUUCUAACAGCAUAAAUAGUUGUUAGAGGUUUUUAAACUUUAUGUAAGUGGUAUUAUAUAGUAUAUACUGCAUUGAAUUUGGCUUAUUUUAAUUAAUAUUGUUUGUGGAAUUUAUGCAUUUUGUUUUAUGUACUUUUAUAAUUAUAAAAUCUUAUUUAAUGACAUAAUUAAAUUGUUUUAUCUUAUAAAAAAUUAUUAUUACAUAUUAUAAUGGCCUAAAUAUUUGUGUCCCCUCAAAUUCAUAAACUGAAGUCCUAACCCCCAAUCUGAUGGUAUUAGGAAAUGGAGCCAUUACAAGGCAAUCAGGUCUAGGUGAAGUCGUGAGGGCAGAUCCCCUAUGAUGGAAUUAGUGCUCUUAUAUGAUGAGGAGAGUCAGUGCAUCUUCUCUCCGUCAUGUAAAGAUAAAACUGGAAGGCAGCCUAUUGCCAGCCAAGAAGAGGGCCCUCAACAGAACCUGACCAUUCUGGCACCAUCAUCUAAGCCUUCCAGGGUCCAGAACUGUGAGCAAUUAUUUUCUGUUAUGUAAGCCACCCAGUAUAUGGUAUUUUAUUAUGGCAUCCCAAGCCAACUAAAACACAUACUUAUUAGAGAAAUGAAUUGAAAUUUCGAAAUGUAAAUAAUAUAUCCUCUCCAACUUUGUGGGUUUUUUUAUUUGUUUGAUGAUGCCUUUGGAUUAAAUAGAAGUUUGAAUGUAGAAGUUUAAAUGUAGUCUAGUUUAUUAUCCUUCCUUUAUUGUUAAUACUAUUUAUGGCUUAAAAAAUAUUUGCCUAAACUAAGAUUAUAACCAAAAUUUUCUGUCAUUCCUCUAAAGUAUUUUUAUUUUUUCAUUACUGUUUAAGUUUAAAAUAUUUUAAGCAUUAGGUUUUCUAUAUAAUGUAAGACAGAAGUUCAGAAACAUUCUCCCCCAUCAUGGAUAUCCAAUUGACCCAAAACCAUUUAUUGAAAAUCAAAACAAAAACAAAUUUAUUGUUUCUUACUCUUAUUCAAUGCCAUCUUUAUAAUUCAAAUGUCAAUACAUGUGUGGAUCUGUUUCUGGAUUCUAAUCCAGUGGCCAAUUUGUCUAUUUUCACACAAAUAGCAUAAUGUCUUAAUUCAUCUAGGUUUAUGAUAUAUCUUGAUAUUUAUCUGGUGUUAUAAGUCCUCCAGAAUUGUUUUUCUAUAAGUUUCUUGAACUUAGCAUUUGAACUUUAUAAUUAGAGAUAAAGACAAUUUAUCUAUUUUAUUAUUUACCAAAAAAAUUUAAUGGGAUUUAUGUUGGAAUUCAAAUGUAUCUAUAGAAAAAUUUGGGGAGAAUUUUCAUGUCUAUAAUAUGAAGUCUUGCUAAUCCCUUCAUUUAAUUGUCUAUUUUAAUUUCUCCUUAUCAUUUGUAGUUUUUAGUAUAGAAGUCUGUAUCUGUCCCAAAUAGUUUCAGAAUAUUUGUAAAUAUCAUUAAGGGAAAAUUCAAUGACUUGAUCUCACUUCUCUAUCCCUCUGUUCUGUUGGAGUUUUAGUUCACUAGAAUCUCUAAUUUUUGUCUCUUCAUCUCUUUAAGACCUACAAAAGCUUCAAUAGGUUUGUCUACCUCUAAAUACAGUCCCCUGCUUGGGCCCUUUGCCCAGAUAUUUAGCUUCCUGUCAUGCACCCCUCAUUAGCAAAUGUGCCAAAGGGAAAAAAGCUGUGUCUCACUGCUAAACAAAAUGUUCCCUCCUCUGAAAUGUCAUCUCCUCAUUUCCUGUUUCCCCGUUACUUAUCCAAUCUCUUUGAGAUGCAAUUUGUUGUUCUGCUCUGAUUUUUUAUUCAGCCCUUCUAGUUGUUGCUAGUCAGUGACAGUUGCAUUCACUUAUCACAAAUGGGAGCAGAAGGUCUUUCCACACACUUUUUACUAAUUCCCAUUUAUUCUGUGGAAAGGUUUCUUUACAUAUGAAUUGCCCUUAACUAUCGAUUUUAUCAUAUAUUAUUCCAUAUAAAAGAUAUCUGGAAAUUUUUACAGAACUAUAAUCUGACUAUACAACCAUCUCUUUAAAGGGACUGUGUUAAGAGGGGGCCACAGAACUCCUUAAUAUUGAGAAGCCUAAUUGAGAAGGUUGGCACUUUGUUUAUGUGUGCCUGUGUUUAGCAUAUUUGCUUUCUAAAUAAAAAGAAGAACAUAGAGACUUUAACAAUAUAAAAUUCAGAAAGAUAUCCAAACAUAGGAUGUUCAACCAAAGUGCAGUGGCAGUUCAGUGAAGAAAGAAUAAUCUCUCAAGAAAUGAUGAUGAGGCAAUUGAGUACUUAUAUCCAAAAAAUGGAAUAAAUCAUUGCUUCAUACCAAAUACAAAAUUGAAAUAAAUUAAUGUACAAUUAGUUCAUAAUAUAAACCCAAUAAAACAUUUAAAGGAAAAUAUAGGAUAAAUUAUUUGUGAUCUUGGGUUAUGCAGAGAUCUUCUAGAAACAACACUAAAAGCAUGAAGCAUAAAGAACACAUUUGUAAGUUAAACUCAUCAGGACUUUCAAAUGUUCUGCUCUUUGAAAGGCACUGUUAAGAGAAUAAGAAAACCCAUUGACUAAAUGAAAAUAUUUAUCCAUUACAUAUCUGAUAAAGGCCUAAUAUCCAGGAUAUAUUUUAAAAACUCUAAAAAUUCAAUAAGAAAAAAAUCACCCCAAUUAUAAUAUUUAUUAGCAAAUGCUUUGAACAGAUACUAUGAAAGAAAAUACACAGAUGGCAAAUAAGCCAAUUAGCAAAUUAAUGUUGCUCAACAUUGUUAGUCAUCAGAGAAAUGCAAAUUAAAGCCACAUUGAGAUCUCUCCACACACCUAUCAGAUACCUGAAUGUAGAUUUUAAUAAAAAAAAAAAAACUAAUUGUUUAAAUGCUGCCUUUAGGCUGUAUAAAAUUCCUAAUACUUUCCUUUGGAAGAAUUAUGAAAGAAGUAUAGUCAAAAGACUCAAAAAGCUCAGACGCAUUUCCCUAAAUAUGUUUUGGAAUUUGUUAACAGACGUUAUAAUCAAAUACCUCCUGGUGUGGGCUGAGCUUUUGGGGGAUAUAUUUCUCCAAAAUGUUUAUGUUGAAGUCCUAACUCCCACUAUCUCAUGAUGUGACUUUAUUUGGAGAUAGAGUUUUUAAACAGGUAAUUAAGUUUAAAUGAGAACCAUUACGGUGGUCCUAAUCAAAUGUGACUAAUGACCCUAUAGGAAGAAAAGAUUAAAACACAGACAGGGACUGAGGAAAGACCAUAAGGAGACAGAGGGUAAAGACUGCCAUCUCCAAGGCAAAUAGGCCGUAGAAGAAAGAACACUGCCAUAUAACCUCUAGAACUUUGAGAAAGUACAUUUCUGCUUAAACCACUCAGCACUUUGUUGUGCAUCCCUAACAAACUAGUAUAGUUCUCAUGAAUUAAUUCAUUUAGAAAUGUUGAAGUCAAAUUAAUUGGACUCACUUAUUGUAAUGCUUCUAAAAAGCCUUUAUUUGUUAUCUUAUUCUGAGCAGCUGAAAAGGGGAAACAAAUUCUUUAGAAUUUUAUAAGCUUAUUUAACAAUGACUCUUUUUCUAUUCAAGGACAUCUUAAAGAUCUAGGGUUUGAUGGAAACACUUUGGUGAAUAAUGAACUAGAAAACAAUAAUAUUCAUUAAGAAAAAAAUAAAGCCAGUAGCUGUCAACCUGAUUAUAUAAUUAAGUAAGACUUAGCCUAAGUCCAAGUUUCAUUCAAAAAACAUUGGAUCCAAUUGUUCCAAAGCAGAGACACCUGAAAAAACACUAGUCUCUUAAUUAUUUUAAAAAUAUGUGUAGACUACCUUAAAAUAAUUUUUAAAUCUUAAUGUCCUGUUCAGUAUUGUUUCAAAAUAUUUUCUUUAUUAUUUAAAAUUAGUGAGUGGGUCAGGUGCAGUGGCUCAUGCCUGUAAUCCCAGCACUUUGGGAGGCCAAGGCGGGUGGAUCACCUAGGGUCAGGAGUUCAAGAACAGCCUGACCAACAUGUUGAAACCCUGUCUCUAUUAAAAAUACAAAAAAAAUUAGCCGAGCGUGGUGGCACAUGCCUGUAAUCCCA